UCGGCUCAGCUAGCAGUAGCAGCCACCCUUCCCCCAUGCCGGCUGACACAGUACCACCAACGGGUCCCCCCUUGAUCGUGCGGCCCGUUCCCGUUGACACUACUUCAACGGGAUCUCCAUCAUCUACACCGACACCCGAAUCUGCAAGACGCAUUGUCGGCAGCGCUCGUUUGAAAGUUAGAAACCCAACAGGUAAAUACCCUAAUUCCUCUUAUAGUUGUAUUUAAGUUGCGCGCCCCAGGUGCCUGCAGCGCGCACCGGUGUGCCAGCAGCGCGCCCUAGGGUGCCCUGGGGCGCGCAUGCAAGCACCCUCGGCUGCUUACUGCUUACCUAAUUUACUGCUUAUCCUAAUGUUCUGUAUAUAUAUUAAUUGUAGCUCCGGCCCUGAAAAAGAAGCGGGGUUUCUGUUCUGAAAGAAGGCGGAGGAUAUCGUUGCACAAACGGGGCAGAAGAUCAAGCUGCAGUAUUGCCC
rnacentral:lncRNA from 1 species